rnacentral:lncRNA from 1 species
CCCGAUUACAAUAUUUUUGUGUGCUAUUGCCCACUCUUCCAAGUGGUACCGGGACCCCCGGACCCCGAUCGCCUAAAAUUUUUCCGGGCCGUCGAAUACGACCUAAGGAACCAUAGUCACCGCCCCGGCAUCAUCCUUUCUCAUUUUUUGUAUAUUUCGGCCGAAAAACUAGAAUUACGCUCGAUUCCCAUAUUUUCGUGUGCUAUACCCACGCCUUCCAAGUGGUCCGGGGACCCACGCAUUCCGAGUUGUCCCAAGAGCCUCGGACCCCGAUCGCCUAAAAUUUUUCCGGGGAAUCAAAUACAACCUAAGGAACCAUAGUAUCCGCCCAGCCAUGAUCGUUCCUUAUUGUUUGCGUUUUUCGGCCAAACAACUAGAAUUCCGCGCGAUUCCCAUAUUUUUGUGUGUUAUAGCCCACACCUUUCGAGUGGUCCCGGGACCUCCGGACCCCUAUCGUCUAAAUUUUUUCCGGACUAUCAAAUACGACCUAAGGAACCAUAGUAUCCGCCCCGCCAUGAUCGUUCCUCAUUUUUUGCAUUUUUUGGCCAAACAACUAGGAUUCCGGGCCAUCC